rnacentral:rRNA from 1 species
AAACGACUCUCGGCAACGGAUAUCCCGGCUCUCGCAUCGAUGAAGAACGUAGCGAAAUGCGAUACUUGGUGUGAAUUGCAGAAUCCCGUGAACCAUCGAGUUUUUGAACGCAAGUUGCGCCCGAUGCCUUUAGGCGGAGGGCACGUCUGCCUGGGUGUCACGU